rnacentral:rRNA from 1 species
UACGUAGGGGGCCAGCGUUGUUCGGAAUUACUGGGUGUAAAGGGUUCGUAGGCGGUGCGGCAAGUUGGGAGUGAAAUCUCUGGGCUCAACCCAGAGGCUGCUUCCAAAACUGCUGUGCUUGAGUGUGAGAGAGGCUCGUGGAAUUGCAGGUGUAGCGGUGAAAUGCGUAGAUAUCUGCAGGAACACCCGUGGCGAAAGCGGCGAGCUGGAUCACUACUGACGCUGAAGAACGAAAGCUAGGGGAGCAAACAGG